rnacentral:rRNA from 1 species
UACGUAGGGUCCGAGCGUUGUCCGGAAUUAUUGGGCGUAAAGGGCUCGUAGGCGGUUUGUCGCGUCUGCUGUGAAAACUCGGGGCUUAACUCCGGGCCUGCAGUGGGUACGGGCAGACUAGAGUGCGGUAGGGGAGACUGGAAUUCCUGGUGUAGCGGUGAAAUGCGCAGAUAUCAGGAGGAACACCGGUGGCGAAGGCGGCCCACUGGUCCGGUACUGACGCUGAGGUGCGAAAGCGUGGGGAGCAAACAGG